GGUGGCGCAGCAGCACUUCCUUCCUAACAGGACUUGGGGUCCCGGUGCUGCUUCCUGCUGUGGGCACCUCCCUGCUCCCGCGGGGGUAGGGGUGCCUGGGGACACGGCAUCCUGGGGGCAGCUGCACCUUGCCUGCCCUCCUCCACCGGCAGUGAAGGUGCAGCGAUGCAGCUGGCUUCUGCUGGAGGUUGUGAGCAAGAAACGCCAGAAGCUGCCCAACAGCGUGAAGCUCUCCGUUCCGGAGAAGCCGUAGGGAGGAUGACGGCAACGACGGAUGUUAAUGAAGAGCAGCCUGCAGAGGAAAAAAGAAAGGAUGUGGGGAGAGGGGUGCCCUCCGGCUGAGGAGGGGACCCCGUGCGUGGAGGUCCACUGUCUGCUCCAUAGCCAAGGUGGCCUUGCUGUUCUUUAGGGUCUGACCCUGCUCUCGUCUUCAUGCCCGUCUUCUGUCUGACGGCCAUGUGCAGGUUCAGCUGCCUCCAGCUCUUCUCCCCGACUUGCUUUCCCGUGCUGUGGAGGAAGGGCACGUCUCCGCAGCUGACAUCUCCCUUGGGCCUGCGCUUGCACCGAGCCGCUGCCAGAACGGGAACUGCAGGCGUCUGUUGAACAACAAAGCAAACGCCCAAGCAUUUCGGGUGUGAUGUCCCCAGCAUUCCAAGGAGAGAUUACGCAGCAGCAGCCCAAACGUCUGGAAUGGCUUCUUUCUAGGAGAGAAGCAAAGCCUUGGCGGAGCCAGAGCAGGAGCUUCUUUCCUGAAGGGAAGAGAACCUCCAGCCAUCGCUAUCCAUCUCCUCCCCGGCCAAAGGCCAAAGGCCAAAAGCCAAAGGCCAAAUCCCAAAUCCCAUAUCCCAAAUCCCCAAUCCCAAAUCCCAAAUCCCAAAUCCCCGCCUCCAUUGCUAACAUCAGAGCACAGCAAGCCGUACGUGUGCAGAAGCAUCCCAGAUUCCUAUGGCUCUGUAGCGGUGCGCUAAAGAGGGCCUCGGUCCUACAGCCUCACGGCAGGAACUUGGCAAACAAGGAGCUUCUCACGGGACUGCUCACUUGCAUCCACUGCCAUCGCAUCCACAGCCCGCAGCCCGCAGCCGUCGGGUGAAGCCCUCAAGAGUACAACGGAGGUCGAGUGCUGAAAGCACGGGAGAGUUCCCGCAGCAACUGCUGCUAACAGCAGACGCUCCCAGCAACUCCAAGGAAGCCCUGAGAGCCCCGAGCCGUGCCCCAGGACCGCUUCCUCUCUCGAUUCACCGCCACCGCCACGGGAAAAGCAGACGGGAAAAGGGCACCGACGAAAGCUGCCGAUCGCGUUCACGACGGAGGCACUGCCGGCACUCGGGAGGACGGGAGAGCCCGGGGCUACUCGGCUCGAAGCGCUUCCCGCCCGCCCCGUUUCCCCACCUGGCAGCGCGGCGGCGGGUCGGCUCCGGGUGCGCUUUCCGGCCCUUCCGGCAGGCGGCGCCACAGCAGUGAACCGCUGGCUUCACUCCGGCAUCGGGCACCGCGUCGCCAACGCGGGCGGCGCCGCGGGAAGAGGCCGCCAGCGGUACGCGAGUACGCGCCGACUGGACGCAGGCGUGCUUAGCGGCGUCGCGGAAAGAAAGCCGGUAGCAACGGCACGCGUUCUAACGGGCGGCGUACCUCCUAGCGAGCCGUCCGUCGGAGAUCGCCGGCAAGCGAGCCGCCUCACGGGAGCGAGCGUGGUCGAGUUAGCGGCGCUCCUCCCCGUGCCAAAGGGAGCUGCUUUGCUCUGAGUCCGCAUUUGCGAGGACGACGAGGACGACGAGGACGACGAGGACGACGAGGAAGGGGCCGGCCGGAGGACGCUCGCGCGUUCACGCGUCUCCAGGGCGCGCGCAGAGCCGUGCGUCACUGCCACCGCACAGCGCCCGCCCGAGCCGCGCGUCGCCGCGGCAACGGCUUCUCCCCUCCUCCUCGCGGCUCCUCCUCUGCCUCUGCCUCUGCCUCUGCCUCUGCCUCUGCCUCUGCCUCUGCCUCUGCCUCUGCCUCUGCCUCUGCCUCUGAUUGUUUAUUCUAUGGAAACAAACAAUAAAUAAACAAACUUCUUGUUUAUUCUAUGGAAAAGUUCUUUUCACAUGUCUAAUUUAUUCCUCAUCUUUGGGGUGCUGAUUCAUUAGAGAACAUUACUGGGGGUCUGACCACAGCAACUCAAAGACCCAAGUCCUGCAUAGAGCACAUCCUACUCUGUUGUUUUAAAUCAGGGGCCGCAAGCACACGGCUUGCAAGGGGGAUCUCUUCCCUGACUCUAAGGAGCAGGGAGAGAAAGCAA